rfam:Dictyocaulus viviparus strain HannoverDv2000 D_viviparus-1.0_Cont961.1, whole genome shotgun sequence.
GACCGCUUGGCGCAAUGGUAGCGCGUUCGACUCCAGAUCGAAAGGUUGGGUCGAUUGGUCGUUGGGUCGGUCGAAAGGUCGAUCCGCUCAGUGGUCA